UCCCGGUUAGCUCAUUUGGUAGAGCGCUCCACUUGAAAUGGGGAUGUCCCUGGUUCGAGACCAGGGCCAGGCG
rnacentral:tRNA from 1 species